ACAACAGGUGGAGCCUGCGGUUUAAUCGGACUCAACGCCGGGAAACUCACCAGAUAAGACAGCUGGAUGAUAGUCGGGCUGAAGACUCUACUUGACUAGCUGAGAGGAGGUGCAUGGCCGUCGUCAGUUCGUACUGUGAAGCAUCCUGUUAAGUCAGGCAACGAGCGAGACCCACGCCAACAGUUGCCAGCUCGUCCUCCGGGAUGGUGGGGACACUGUUGGGACCGCCUCUGCUAAAGAGGAGGAAGGAAUGGGCAACGGUAGGUCAGCAUGCCCCGAAUUAUCUGGGCUACACGCGGGCUACAAUGGGUGGGACAAUGGGUAUCGACACCGAAAGGUGAAGGCAAUCUCCUAAACCCAUCCGUAGUUCGGAUUGUGGGCUGCAACUCGCCCACAUGAAGCUGGAAUCUGUAGUAAUCGUGUCUCAAAAUGGCACGGUGAAUAUGUCCCUGCUCCUU
rnacentral:rRNA from 1 species